rnacentral:rRNA from 1 species
AUUGAACGCUGGCGGCAUGCCUUACACAUGCAAGUCGAACGGCAGCAUGAUCUAGCUUGCUAGAUUGAUGGCGAGUGGCGAACGGGUGAGUAAUACAUCGGAACGUUCCCUGUAGUGGGGGAUAACUAGUCGAAAGAUUAGCUAAUACCGCAUACGACCUGAGGGUGAAAGUGGGGGACCGCAAGGCCUCAUGCUAUAGGAGCGGCCGAUGUCUGAUUAGCUAGUUGGUGAGGUAAAGGCUCACCAAGGCGACGAUCAGUAGCUGGUCUGAGAGGACGAUCAGCCACACUGGGACUGAGACACGGCCCAGACCCCUACGGGAGGCAGCAGUGGGGAAUUUUGGACAAUGGGCGAAAGCCUGAUCUAGCAAUGCCGCGUGUGUGAAGAAGGCCUUCGGGUUGUAAAGCACUUUUGUCCGGAAAGAAAUGGCUCUGGUUAAUACCUGGGGUCGAUGACGGUACCGGAAGAAUAAGAACCGGCUAACUACGUG